rnacentral:lncRNA from 1 species
GUAAAGCAAGACAGCGCGCGUUCCCGUGUCCUGCCCCUCUGAAUGUCGGCGGCUCCAAAAGGGUGACGUGGAGAUGUUGCCGCUCCCGCCCAGGGCUGCUUUGCAGUCGGGGAGAGAUCCUGGCUGAAGAGAUUUAAGGACGGCGGACCGCAUCGGCGCGAAUUGAGCUCUGGGCCCAAAUAUGAAGUGGCAUCCGGUGUGAGGCUCGACUGGGCGGUGCUCGAGCGCUGCUGGGGGAAGCCCAGGCCUCCAAGCCUCAGGGGCGCGCGACCGACCGCGCUGCGCUUCCAGGCGGGGCUGCGGGCUUCGCUCCUGGCCGCUCUGGGCCUGAAAGGCUGCACCGCCACCUGCGUGAGGCCACCGGACAGGACUGUGAGGAUCACAGUCGGUGAAGCAGAGUGCUUUGUAAACCUCAGAGUGCGGUACUCGUGGUGCUGGAGCCGAGAAACCAGCAGCAGCUGCUGAGAGCCGACUGUGAAGAAAUGGGAGGAACUCCGUGUUGGGAGCGAGAGGCUUCGAAAGAACUGGCCACGCAGUCAAGUGUGUGUGGCGGGGCAAGUUUCCCGGAGAAAGCGAGCAGUUUAUGUUGGAGCUUGAAGUCAGGAUAACCAGUUUUGCCUUUUUUCUGUGAACCAGCUCCAAAACAAUGCUUUACUUCAGCCCGGUCUUUUUGCAGGAAGACCAUCUGCUUAGCUUAGUUCUACAAACUUUUUCAUUUUUAAUGUGCAAAGAACAGGCGGGGAGAGCCAAAAUAAAUCUUACAACGCAAAUUUAAAA